CCUACGGGGGGCAGCAGUAGGGAAUAUUGCUCAAUGGGGGAAACCCUGAAGCAGCAACGCCGCGUGGAGGAUGAAGGUUUUCGGAUUGUAAACUCCUUUUGUUAGAGAAGAUAAUGACGGUAUCUAACGAAUAAGCACCGGCUAACUCCGUGCCAGCAGCCGCGGGAAUACGGAGGGUGCAAGCGUUACUCGGAAUCACUGGGCGUAAAGAGGGCGUAGGCGGGAUAGCAAGUCAGAUGUGAGAUCCUGUGGCUUAACCAUAGAACUGCAUUUGAAACUGUUAUUCUAGAGUAUGGGAGAGGUAGGUGGAAUUCUUGGUGUAGGGGUGAAAUCCGUAGAGAUCAAGAAGAAUACUCAUUGCGAAGGCGACCUGCUAGAACAUCACUGACGCUGAUGCGCGAAAGCGUGGGGAGCAAACAGGAUUAGAUACCCCAGUAGUC
rnacentral:rRNA from 1 species